AUUGAACGCUGGCGGCAGGCCUAACACAUGCAAGUCGAACGAGUGGCGGACGGGUGAGUAAUGUCUGGGAAACUGCCUGAUGGAGGGGGAUAACUGCUGGAAAAGGUAGCUAAUACCGCAUACCAUCAGAUGUGCCCAGAUGGGAUUAGCUUGUUGGUGGGGUAACGGCUCACCAAGGCGACGAUCCCUAGCUGGUCUGAGAGGGUGACCGGCCACACUGGAACUGAGACACGGCCCAGACUCCUACGGGAGGCAGCAGUAGGGAAUAUUGGACAAUGGGCGAAAGCCUGAUGCAGCCAUGCCGCGUGUGUGAAGAAGGCCUUCGGGUUGUAAAGUUCUUUCAGCAGGGAGGCGUUACCCGAAGAAGAAGCACCGGCUAACUCCGUGCCAGCAGCCGCGGUAAUUC
rnacentral:rRNA from 1 species